AGGACAAACCUUAUAGUAGUACUUAGGAUCACGUGAGUAGACAGAGUUGAUAUGGUUCUAAUCUGCAUUGUCAUUAUUACAAGCUUAUCCUAACACUUUAAAAAACACAAACUUCAAUUUACUAUUGCUGCAAUAGUGUUGUGCCGAUUUUACCCCACCUUUCAACCUUAAUUACUAAAUUUUCCAUGAUGUUGGAUGAUGCCACGUGUUCCAUCAUCUAUCUGCCUUAUUUGAUCGUCUUUGUUUCCCCUUUCUCUUUCCUCGACUAUGGGAUCUUUUUCCCCUUCCAUUUUCAACAAACCCUAGCUCUCAUCUUUGCAAUCUCCUCCUCCCCCUUCACCUCUCUCCUUCCAUCAUCCUAGAUUUCCAGAUCGUCAAUCUCCGUUCUUCUUCAAGAGGAUGUUAGUUUAUGGUGAUCGAAGGCCCACAUUCGAGGAUUUUGAGAAGGAGUCCAACUAUGGAACCAUUGAUACAUUUGAAGCUAUUCGUUCUCAUAUGACGAAUCUGUUGCUUCGUAAUUCGCCUCUUCAAUAACCGGCACCCAGGUUCACUCCUUCUGAAUCUCCUCACUAUCAGUUCGUCUCUUUCUCCCUGGUGGUAAUUAUGAAAAUUGUAAGCUAUCCCAACAUAGUCAAUCUUAUCGAGGUGAUUAAUGAUCCAGACACAGAUCACUUCUAUAUGGUUGAGUAUGUGGAGGGCAAAUGGGAUUGUGAGGGUGUUGGACCACCUGGUGGCUUAGGGGAAGCUAUCAUGAGACAAUAUUUACGAGAUAUUGUUUCUGGGUUAAUGUAUCUUCAUUCACAUAAUAUAGUGCAUAUGGACAUAAAGACUCAAAAUCUUUUGGUUUCGCGUAAUGGCACUGUAAAGAUUGCAAAUUUCAGUGUCAGCCAAGUUUUUGAGAUGGAAUCUUGCUUCUUGAAGCUAAUAGAAUGUUCAGAGCUGGAGGAUAUUUUGUAUGGGCAGUAUUGCCAGUCUAUAAACUUGAAGAUAACUUGCAAAAGCAGUGGAAAGAAAUGGAGAAUCUUACGUCCCAUAUUUGCUGGGAACUGGUAAAAGGGAGGGUUAUAUUGCUAUAUGGAGGAAGCCUUUGAACAACAUUUGUUAUCUGAAUCGUGAAGUUGGUGCGAAACCUCCACUUUUUGACCCGAACAAUUAUCGAGACAGUGUCAGGCAUGUGGGACAGAAGGUCUGUAUUACAAGGGUACCUAAUAACGGAUGUGAAUGUUGUCGGAGAGAGAAUAAGUACCCUCAAUUUUGCAGAGAGGGUUGCCUCUAUAGUACUUGGAGCUGCUCGAGCUAACACUUGAACGUGAAGCAAAUACUAUUUUAUUGGAGAAGGGAUCAUUGAAGUAGCUAAAUGCUGUAUUUUACAAGAGUGAGACUAGGAACUACCCCAAGGGAAUACAAUGUGCAGAUUAUGGGUUCCAUUUAUUGACUGUCCACGGGCGAGUGGGUUUCAUUUAUGUUUCUACUCAAUAUCGCGCUUUAUUGUGUGAUUAUUUGAAUGAUGGUUAUUAGUUUCUGCUGACUGAUAUUAGGUCGAGCUCAAUUUCUAUGAUAUCAAUGGCUCCUCAACUGCCAACGCAGUUUCUUGUUCAGACCCAGUAUGUAGUACUAUGGUUCCACCAGCAUCGUCUCACUACUCAGCUGAAAGUAAACAGUGCGGUUACUCGUUUCAAUAUGGUGAUGGAAGUGGGACCUCAGGGUUUUAUGUGUCUACUAUGAUGUACUUUUAUAUGAUCUAGGGAGCUCUAUGAACGCUAAUUCACCUGCCUCUAUCGUUUUCAGAUGCAACAAUUAUCAAUCUGGAGAUUUGAUCAAUUCAGAACGUGCUCUUGAUGGGAUCUUUGGUUUUGGUCAGCAGGGCUUGUCCUUUGUAUCUCAAUUUUCUUCCAGGGUAAUAACACCUCAACCAUUUUCCCAUUUUUGAAAGGAGGAGGAAAUGGUGGGGUUAUUCUGGUGCUUGUAAGAUUUUGGGCCCAAGUAUUGCGUAUGGUCCACUUGUGCCAUCAUAGGAGGAGAGGAUGCUGCCAUUGUCAGAUACAUGUACACAAGGAUGACUGAAAUCACUAGAGAACUACUAGGAAAGAUACUGGAAUCACUUCACAGUUAGUGGAACUAUUGAGGUAGUGGAUGUAGACAGUGCAAGUGAUGCAAGUGAUGCAAGUGAAGGGACGAUGUAACUCUCAGAAUCACUGAACUACCAGUUCGGAAGUGGACUCAAGAUUAUAAGGAAUUUUAAAGAGAGACAGAGAUCAAAUGAUGUAGCAAAAUUAAAUGAUGCGGCGAAUAUUCGGUGCUAAGGAGUUCUUUGAGAUUUUUCAAAGAUGCUUCUGAUCAGAUUUUGACUUGACUUGCGCAGUUGUUGAUUCGUCUGCAAUAUUAGCUGAAAUUGCAAUUGCAACAGCAACAGCUCUACAAAGCCUUAUAUAUCAGAGUCGUAUGUUGCCACAAAGUUAGCCGAGGAACUAUCAUGACUGUUAUUUCUCCUUUCCCCUAUUAGGCCGGUCUUUUUUAAUUUUUCUAAACUUAGCCAUGUAAAUUUUUUAUGCUUAGCCAUGAAUUCUAUAUAUGUAAA